AUUCAGCUGACGAGUUCCAAAUAGGACGAACCGCACGUCCUGGAU
rnacentral:hammerhead_ribozyme from 1 species